rnacentral:rRNA from 1 species
AGUGAACGCUGGCGGUAGGCCUAACACAUGCAAGUCGAACGGCAGCACAGUAAGAGCUUGCUCUUACGGGUGGCGAGUGGCGGACGGGUGAGGAAUACAUCGGAAUCUACUUUUUCGUGGGGGAUAACGUAGGGAAACUUGCGCUAAUACCGCAUACGACCUACGGGUGAAAGCAGGGGAUCUUCGGACCUUGCGCGAUUGAAUGAGCCGAUGUCGGAUUAGCUAGUUGGCGGGGUAAAGGCCCACCAAGGCGACGAUCCGUAGCUGGUCUGAGAGGAUGAUCAGCCACACUGGAACUGAGACACGGUCCAGACUCCUACGGGAGGCAGCAGUGGGGAAUAUUGGACAAUGGGCGCAAGCCUGAUCCAGCCAUACCGCGUGGGUGAAGAAGGCCUUCGGGUUGUAAAGCCCUUUUGUUGGGAAAGAAAAGCAGCUGGUUAAUACCCCGCUGUUCUGACGGUACCCAAAGAAUAAGCACCGGCUAACUUCGUG